UGGGGAAUUUUGGACAAUGGGCGAAAGCCUGAUCCAGCAAUGCCGCGUGUGUGAAGAAGGCCUUCGGGUUGUAAAGCACUUUUGUCCGGAAAGAAAUCCUCUGGGUUAAUACCUCGGGGGGAUGACGGUACCGGAAGAAUAAGCACCGGCUAACUACGUGCCAGCAGCCGCGGUAAUACGUAGGGUGCAAGCGUUAAUCGGAAUUACUGGGCGUAAAGCGUGCGCAGGCGGUUUUGUAAGACGGAUGUGAAAUCACCGGGCUUAACCUGGGAACUGCAUUCGCGACUGCAAGGCUCGAGUAUGGCAGAGGGUGGUAGAAUUCCACGUGUAGCAGUGAAAUGCGUACAGAGAUGGAGGAAUACCGAUGGCGAAGACAGCCCCCUGAGCCAAUACUGACGCUCAUGCAC
rnacentral:rRNA from 1 species